rnacentral:rRNA from 1 species
AACUCUUAGCGGUGGAUCACUCGGCUCGUGCGUCGAUGAAGAACGCAGCUAGCUGCGAGAACUAAUGUGAAUUGCAGGACACACAUUGAUCAUCGACCUUUCGAACGCACAUUGCGGCCCCGGGUCCAUCCCGGGGCCACGCCUGUCUGAGGGUCGCC